UGGAGGGCGGUGCUUUUGCUUUGUCAAGAUGGCUGUACUUACGUCAGGGCUAGACUCGAGGUGGGUACAGCCUUGUUCUUCUUGGCCUCCACAGCCAAGAUGCAAGCCCAGGCUUCAGACAGAGGUGGGGCUGGGCUGGCCCCCGUCAGCCACCAUCCACACUCCCCAGAACACCCGCAGGCACCGCAGCGAGUGUGGGGGGCCACGGGUCACCUUCUGCCCUCCUCCCAGUCUCUCCUCUCGGAACCAGACCGUGUGGGGAGAUGAGCACCGGCCCUCCAGCACCCCUGCUUCUGCUUCUCAUGCCCCUCACACCCACCUUCCAGGAAGCGGCCUGCCGGGGAGUGCUCGCUGCUGAGAGGCUGCAGAGGUAAGGGAGACCUCCUCGAAGUCAGAUGCGUUCCGGGGACUGACACGUGUUUGGGCGCCUGAAUGGCAACAGGAAGCUCACUUCAGAGAAAGAACACGGCCCACUGAGCGUCUCAGCGCAGGCGAGUCCCGGGCCCGGCAUCACCCCGGGGUUUCAUACACGGACAGCAGGGUCUUCUCUCUGGUCCCCACCACAGCCCGGCACGUGGCGAAGGCCACUGUUUGUUGAUCCGGUCCAAUGUGGACUCCCGUGUUCAAGGUGUUGCGAUGAAGGAAGGGAGUCAGAACGCUCUUACGUCAGCGGUCGGCCAGGCCCUCCCCAUAUGGCAUCUGAACAGGACAGCCCCCAUGUCCCCUGCCACACAGCUCUGCUCCUACCGCUUCUAGCCCCGGCCUGGGAAAUCCAAACAGAACAGACACACGGGACAGGUUCCUGACAGAGACCACCUCGCAGCCGGCACCUGGCCUGCACACCCCUUCAGCGGGGACUGUCACUUGGGACGGGAGAAUGGGGGCUGGGGGGUCACAGGGACCAUAGGCCACGAGGGUACGUGCCGAUCCACGCACCUGAGUGGGCUUCAGUCGAGAUGGACGGUCCGACAGGGGGACAAGCAGGGGGACCUGGGGACCAAGAGGCCAACGCACCGCUCACAGAAGUCCUGCAGUUUUGCCAACGUGCCCUUCCCUCCCUCUCAUUUCCCAGAAUGGCCAGGCAGCUGCCAAGUGACGUGUGUGACCAUCAGCGGGUGCUCGGCUCCUGCAUUCCCCAGGACCACGGGGCGACAGGUCUCCUGCGCCCAUCGCCCACCAGCCCUUGGCCCUUGCCUGAAAAGGGAGUGAAGCUCAUUGUUUACUUCUCUGUAACCUCAGUUUGGUUCCUUGUGACCAAGAGGGGCCUUCAUUUCUCCAAUCAUGAGGGACCAUGGCCACUGCUGAGCACACGCUCUGGCUCGCUCCCCACCCCCCCACCCCCUCUUCUUGGUACAGGUGAGUGUUGGGAGGUCCCGGGCUAUGCUGUGCACUGGAGACGCGGUCAACGUCACCCACCCUCCCGGCUUCUCUACUCACCCCCAUCCCUUUCCCACCACAGCUUGCAGAAGCCACCCACGGCUGGCCAUGGGGAGAGGAGCCCCGUGAUGGCCAUGCAGAGGAGCAGCACGGAGCACAUGGAGAAGAGGGGCGAUCUGUUCCCGGUGCACAGACACAGCCAGAUUGAGUCCUCAUCCUUUAUUGUCAGACCCACGCGACCCCAAGGCCCUUCCAGUGUUUACAGGACAUUUCCCACUGAAGAGCUCUGA
rnacentral:lncRNA from 1 species